rnacentral:lncRNA from 1 species
CUAGUGUUGUAGUACUUGGAAGGAACUAUGUCAUUAUAUUGAUGUGGAACCGCCUUGACUCGCAUUAGUAAGUUGUUUAAUUAUGGUAUUAUGAUGACCCAAUUGACUAUGGAUUAGAAUGAUGCGCGCCUAAUGUUUAUAUCAUUUCUAACUAAAGUAUGGUCAUAUGGGUCAAGUGGGAGAAUGUUGGGUUUUGACCCACAUGACCACAUCGUGGUCAGUUACGAUCCCGUGAGAAGUGGAAGCAUUAUCCUUG